rnacentral:rRNA from 1 species
GAUGAACGCUGGCGGCGUGCCUAAUACAUGCAAGUCGAGCGAACGGACGAGAAGCUUGCUUCUCUGCUGUUAGCGGCGGACGGGUGAGUAACACGUGGAUAACCUACCUAUAAGACUGGGAUAACUUCGGGAAACCGGAGCUAAUACCGGAUAAUAUUUUGAACCGCAUGGUUCAAAAGUGAAAGACGGUCUUGCUGUCACUUAUAGAUGGAUCCGCGCUGCAUUAGCUAGUUGGUAAGGUAACGGCUUACCAAGGCAACGUUGCAUAGCCGACCUGAGGGGGUGACCGGCCCCCUGGAACCUGGGCCACGGUCCAGCCCCCUCCGGGAGCCACCGGGGGGAAUAUUUCCGCAAUGGGCGAAAGCCUGACGGAGCAACGCCGCGUGGUUGAUGAAGGCCUUCGGUUCGUAAAACCCUGUUAUUAGGGAGGAACAUAUGUGUAAGUAACUGUGCUCAUCUGGCCGUUCCCAAAUCAGGAAGCCCCGGUUACCUACUU